rnacentral:rRNA from 1 species
AUUGAACGCUGGCGGCAGGCCUAACACAUGCAAGUCGGACGAGCGGCGGACGGGUGAGUAAUGUCUGGGGAUCUGCCUGAUGGCGGGGGAUAACUACUGGAAACGGUAGCUAAUACCGCAUACCAUCAGAUGUGCCCAGAUGGGAUUAGGUGGUUGGUGGGGUAACGGCUCACCAAGGCGACGAUCCCUAGCUGGUCUGAGAGGAUGACCAGCCACACUGGAACUGAGACACGGCCCAGACUCCUACGGGAGGCAGCAGUGGGGAAUAUUGCACAAUGGGGGCAAGCCUGAUGCAGCCAUGCCGCGUGGAUGAAGAAGGCCGUAGGGUUGUAAAGUACUUUCAGCGGGGAGGCGUUACCGACAGAAGAAGCACCGGCUAACUCCGUGCCAGCAGCCGCGGUAAUAC